rnacentral:rRNA from 1 species
UCCUCCUUUUGCUAGCGUUGUUCGGAUUUACUGGGCGUAAAGCGCAUGUAGGCGGAUAUUUAAGUCAGAGGUGAAAUCCCAGGGCUCAACCCUGGAACUGCCUUUGAUACUGGAUGUCUUGAGUAUGGAAGAGGUGAGUGGAAUUCCGAGUGUAGAGGUAAAAUUCGUAGAUAUUCGGAGGAACACCAGUGGCGAAGGCGGCUCACUGGUCCAUUACUGACGCUGAGGUGCGAAAGCGUGGGGAGCAAACA